UACGGAGGGGGCUAGCGUUGUUCGGAAUUACUGGGCGUAAAGCGCACGUAGGCGGCUAUUUAAGUCAGGGGUGAAAGCCCGGGGCUCAACCCCGGAAUUGCCCUUGAGACUGGAUAGCUAGAAUCUGGGAGAGGUGAGUGGAAUUCCGAGUGUAGAGGUGAAAUUCGUAGAUAUUCGGAAGAACACCAGUGGCGAAGGCGGCUCACUGGACCAGUAUUGACGCUGAGGUGCGAAAGCGUGGGGAGCAAACAGG
rnacentral:rRNA from 1 species